rnacentral:lncRNA from 1 species
AAAGUACAUCCUGAAUUUCACUGGAAACUUGGGAAAGGAAGAAAGUAGACUAAACUAUAACUUUUCUCAGAAGUGUAGACCCUAAGAUCCUGGACAGAGUUGAAAUUCUGUCCUGUCCUUAUAAUGAUCCCUGUGAAGUAACAUGUGAAGAAUUGAUUAAUUAGGUUGGUUUCAGAUCAACAACUUAUUUCCUGGAAAGAGCAGGCUUGAACCUCAUAGUGAGAUUCAAAGACUAAGAGAAUGCUUCCAAGAACCUGAAGGAGGAAAGGAGACGGCUUAGUUUUAUUACAGAUGGCUGCCAGCUUCAGGAUGUGCCUCAGUCUUUUUCCAUUGUUUCCAUUGUGACUGUUAACUGCAGAAACCCAGCCCAGAACCGAGGAUCCCAGGAUCUGCAUGUUGCAAGUGAUACCAAAGAGGUAAAUUAACUCAUCCUUCCACCUCUAGGAAGGACAAACUGUGUCCAAAUAUUUCCAGAGGAAUAAUUUUACAUC